UGGACAACCAAUGACUGCGACUCCGGAAUACGCGCGUUUUGAAUCGAAGCGAGUGAAUUUGCACAUUAUUCCCGUACAGUCUUUUUUUUGUUUUUUUCCUGUUGAAGCUACUUUUUAAAAUAUUUUUUUUUAUCAGUUCAUUAUUUUUGGGGGGCGAGGGAAAGGAAAGCGUUGGAGCCUCCCGCUUCUUUGCCGUUCAUCCGUGAUAUCAUUUGCAUUUGCUUGUUUUCCGAAAGAUCAAAUUGUGGCGCACGACCUUUUACUCUUCUGCUGUUCGUAAAGAAGCAUGUUGGUAAAUCGUGUGACCCGACGCGGGCUCGCUGAUUGGCACAUUCUCGGGAGCUGACCAGACAGACCACCGACUUCAAGCUCGGGAGGGGGGGGGGGGGGGGGGCAGUGAGUAGACCAGCCGCACGUGCACGCGCAAUGUGCGUUUAGCAUUCGCCGCUCCAAAGGCAGUUUUCGCACUUUUACGCAUGUUGUUUCUUUUUUUUUUCGGUUGCCAAAAAGAGCUCUCCCAUCCCCACGGCCGCGUAGGUGUGUGUGAUACAGAGCAGGGGCUGUGAGGAUCCUUUAGUAGGGUCAGGCGUUUGGUUCGUGCGCGUCUUUUAAGGGUUGUGUGCGCGCGCAUAUGUAUUUAUAUACGUGUGCGAGGGGGCAGGGUGGUGGUGGAUCGAACCUGUCCACUGCGCUGCUGCACGAACUUCAGGAGAACUAAUUCCAAGUGGCACUUGAAUUGGUCCCGUUGGAAAGCUCCGUGGACUGGAAGUAAAGGCUGGUAUUUUCAUGCUGGUGUUAAAACUAACCUCCCCCCUGCCCUCGCUCUCUCUCUCUCCCACACACACACGCACACGAACGCGCACGCACGACCCCAAAAUUAAGUUGAGAGCGCAGGCUUAGCAGCACAUAUGCAAAGCCUCCUACCUGACUGGGGUCCUGGUGCAGCAAUUUGGGUGAUCACCAUUCAAGCCGAGGCUGGAGGUAUUAUCCAGCAUUAUGUUUUGGAGGAGCCUUGUUUGUUUGGGAAUAGCCCUCGCAGGCAAUUCGGAAAUCACUCCUAGGAAAAAGACUGGAGGUGAAAUGUAAAACCUGAAUGGGGAUUGAGGGGGGGAAGAGUCAGUGCUAAUUCACAUUCUUUAUCGCGGCUUUUGUUUACGCUAAGCAUGUAAUUAACACCCCCCAAACAAGUUUAUUCACCUGCCGUAAUUGUGUGUUUAUCCGAGGGCUCGCUGAAUGUUCCGAGCAGCGGGGGACGAGAGCUCUGAAAGCGCAUGGAGAAUUUAGCGUCUUCUCCGUUUACUUACGGGCCGAAACUCCAGACACGACAU
ensembl:lncRNA